rnacentral:rRNA from 1 species
AUUGAACGCUUGCGGCAUGCCUUACACAUGCAAGUCAAACGGCAGCGCGGGAGCAAUCCUGGCGGCGAGUGGCGAACGGGUGAGUAAAGCAUCGGAACGUACGCGGGAGUGGGGGAUAACGUAGCGGAAGGUACGCGAAUACCGCAUGUGCAGUGAACAGGAAAGUGGGGGACCGCAAGGCCUCACGAUAUCGGAGCGGCAGAUGACGGAUUAGCUAGUUGGCGGGGAAAAGGCCCACUAAGGCGACGUUCCGUAGCGGGUCUGAGAGGAUGAUCCGCAACACUGGGACUGAGACACGGCCCAGACUCCUACGGGAGGCAGCAGUGGGGAAUUUUGGACGAUGGGCGCAAGCCUGAUCCAGCCAUGCCGCGUGAGCGAAGAAGGCCUUCGGGUUGUAAAGCUCUUUCGGCGGGGAAGAAAUUGCUCAGGUUAAUACCUUGAGUAGAUGACGGUACCCGCAUAAGAAGCACCGGCUAACUACGUGCCAGCCGCCGCAGUAAGAC